rnacentral:rRNA from 1 species
CAUCGUCGGCAACAUGGAGGUGAGUCACCGGCGAGUUGCGGCACCGGUGGCGAACUUUGAGGUGACUCACCGGCGAGUUGUGUCACGGGUGACGAACAUGGAGACGGGUCAUCAGCGAGUUGCAGCACCGGUGGCGAACACGAGGCAUCGAGCGUGUCGCAGUGGCACACUCAUGGUGAAGGCGCACGAGGUGCGGCUCUCACUAAAGCUAGCGGCGACGGUAGCAAUCGGUAUGACAAGAUGGCAUUGCGGCCAUCUCCGUGUUGCACUGACGACAUCGACGACCACGGGCUUCAAGAGAGAAAUAAGUUAACAAGAUUAGGGAGGUGA